UAGUCCACGCCCUAAACGAUGAAUGUUAGUCGUCGGGUAGCUAGUCUAUUCGGUGAUGCAACUAACGCAAUAAGUAUUCCGCCUGGGGAGUACGACCGCAAGGUUGAAACUCAAAGGAAUUGACGGGUCCCCGCACAAGCAGCGGAGCAUGUUGUUUAAUUCGAAGCAACGCGAAGAACCUUACCAGGGCUUGACAUCCACAGAAUCUUCUAGAGAUAGAGGAGUGCCUUUUAGGAACUGUGAGACAGGUGGUGCAUGGUUGUCGUCAGCUCGUGUCGUGAGAUGUUGGGUUAAGUCCCGCAACGAGCGCAACCCUUAUGUUUAGUUGCCAGCACAUUAUGGUGGGGACUCUAGACAGACUGCCGGUGAUAAACCGGAGGAAGGUGGGGACGACGUCAAAUCAUCAUGCUCCUUAUGUCCUGGGCUACAAACGUGCUACAAUGGCCAUUACAGAGGGCAGCCACGUCGUAAGGCGGAGCGAAACCCGAAAGGUGGUCUCAGUUCGG
rnacentral:rRNA from 1 species